CCAAGUAUAAUAAAGUUGUAUAUGUUAUAUUUCAAAGUUUGAUUUUUGAAUUGUAUAUGUUAUGUUACAGAGUAAAAUAUUAUAUAUGUCUAUAGUAUACAGUUAACUAACACAUUCUGAGAAUAGAAAACAGAGAGAUUUUACUAACAAAAUUUAAAUUUAAUGCUUUUUAAAAUAUGUGUGUAAAUAAAUUUACUAAUUUGUAUGUAGCUUGACAGCAUCCAAUAGAAACAGUGUUUACGAUCACUUCUGUUCUCUUGAAGGCUUGUUUUCGUCAUUGAUGAUUUCACGCUUUUGUAAAUCCAAAAUUUCAGGUUAAUUACUUGACAGAAUUAAACCAAUCUUAGACUGUCAAUCCAUAAUUCCAGUGUAAAUACUGGACAGAAUUAAACAAAUCUUACACUGUUUUAUCUAUGAUGUUGUGACCUCUUCUUUCAAUAUUUUUUUUUAUCCCAGAUAUUGUUUUCUCAUACCUGAAUUAUGCCAUUUCUGUUUAUAUCAAAUAGACUAUUUUUAUAUUAACGACUUUUGACUCUUGAUUAUAAUUUUUCAACUGGUUACCUUUUCUCAUGUUGGACAUCCUUGUACUUAGUCAGGUAAGAGCAAACUAAAGAAGUAAAACCAAUCUUUCAAUCGGUACUAUUUCGAGGAAAAAUUAACUGCUUAACAUUUACUUUACACAAGUUAACACAACAAAAUCAUCGGGAAACAGUAUUCACACCAAUUAUAUGUCUGAUUUUACUUAUUUUGGUUGCUCAUACUUGGCUGAGUACCCGGAUAUACAACCACAGAAAAGGUAACCUGUUGAAAAUUUAUGUAAUCUGGAGUCAAAAGUUGGUAAUAUAAAAAAAGUCUAUUGUUUAUAUGCAUCUCCUUCAAUACAGAUUGAAAGAAUGCAAGGUAACUUACAUUGAUUUUUUUUUGCAGGGCAAGAAUAUGUGCUCCUGUUCAUAUACCAAAACAUAGAAUACUUUUGAGAUGAAUGGCAAUACAUAUCUUUCUUUGACAAUUAUAUUUUUUUGCUUAAAUAAUUUUUAGCUUUAUAAAAAAGGGUCUAUGUAUACACACUUUCAUUUCUUAUAUAUCAAAUAUUAGUUUUGCCUUGGAAUUUUUUUCCUUUUCAAUAAUCAAAAAUAUUUCUAACUUAUAAUUUUAUUUAUUUUCAAUAACUUGUCUUUGUUCUCUAAUGAUUUUGUAGAAUUAUAUUGUUUUUGUUUUUUGGAAAAAUGUUGUUUUGAGUGUUGGGUUUUGUUUGGGUUGGGAUUAAAAGAUAUUUAGAUAUACAACUUAUAACUGUUACAGUUACUUUAUAAGGUGAUACAUUACACUGCAGGGAGAUAACUCUCACAGUUACUUUAUAAGGUGAUACAUUACACUGCAGGGAGAUAACUCUGACAGUUACUUUAUAAGGUGAUACAUUACACUGCAGGGAGAUAACUCUGACAGUUACUUUAUAAGUGAUACAUUACACUGCAGGAUUAUGACGUUUACUUUAUAGGUGAUACAUUACACUGCAGGGAGAUAACUCUGACAUUUACUUUAUAAGGUGAUACAUUACACUGCAGGGAGAUAACUCUGACGUUUACUUUAUAAGGUGAUACAUUACACUGCAGGGAGAUAACUCUGAGAAAGUCAGCUGAAUGCUUUAAACAUUUUCUAUUGUUUAGGAAAUAUUGAGCUUCUCAGUAUUCAAAAUUUGUGUUUGUUAAAUUUGUACAAUAUUCUAUGAAAUUUAAUCCGAUAAAUUGUAUGGUUCUGUGUUUUUGAAAAAAUUUUAUUUUUGUCAAAGGGUAAAAUUUAAUAUUUUUGAAUUUUUAUGACAAAUAACAAGCAAAAGUAAUUUAAGUAUGGUACCACCUUAAUGUUUUAAUGUGUAAGGGUGAGGUUCAGUCAUCACGACUGGCUUCAAUUCAUCGAAGACCAAUUAUUGUUAACAGUGGCAGGACUUCACAGGGUCAUUUCUGGACAUUUGAAUUUUAAAUCAAAAGACAAUUCUUAUAUUUUUGGAGUCUGGCCAUACUUACUUAACAUAUAUAUAAUUUUGAUGGGCUACGCUUAAUUUACUACAUAUGCAAGGGCAGUAACUCUUGAAAAUAUGAAAAAUUGGAAUUAGUUUGAAACUCAGUUAUUUACAUCUAUCCUAAUAUUGAUAAUUGUUUUUAUUUUAAUAUUCAGUAUAAGAAGGACUUUUUACUAUCAAUCAUACACAUUAUAUGUAAACUAGGAACAUUUAUAGGUUGUAUUAUAAUUUGUUUUAUUUUGUUGCCUAACACAC
rnacentral:lncRNA from 1 species